rnacentral:lncRNA from 1 species
AGUGAUCCAUAUGCUGCUUACUACAUCGUUAUAUGUCAAUCUAAUUUCUUUCUUAUGACCAGACCUUUAUCAAUUUCGAAAUUGUGUAGCAGCAUCCACCACAUAGGAGUUCAUCUCCUUAUAAUCUAGUCAAUGUUCUCUGUGAGUAUCCUUGUGUAACAAGCUAUGAUCGAAUGUUGUUAGUAGGAAACAUGAAUACCUUUAGACCUCGUGAUCAUGUACCAUAUCUCACGGUUUCUUU